rnacentral:rRNA from 1 species
CCUACGGGAGGCAGCAGUGGGGAAUAUUGGACAAUGGGGGCAACCCUGAUCCAGCCAUGCCGCGUGUGUGAAGAAGGCCCUCGGGUUGUAAAGCACUUUCAGUGAGGAAGAACGCCUGGUGGUUAAUACCCAUCAGGAAAGACAUCACUCACAGAAGAAGCACCGGCUAACUCCGUGCCAGCAGCCGCGGUAAUACGGAGGGUGCGAGCGUUAAUCGGAAUUACUGGGCGUAAAGCGCGCGUAGGUGGCUUGAUAAGCCGGUUGUGAAAGCCCCGGGCUCAACCUGGGAACGGCAUCCGGAACUGUCAAGCUAGAGUGCAGGAGAGGAAGGUAGAAUUCCCGGUGUAGCGGUGAAAUGCGUAGAGAUCGGGAGGAAUACCAGUGGCGAAGGCGGCCUUCUGGACUGACACUGACAUUGAGGUGCGAAAGCGUGGGUAGCAAACAGGAUUAGAUACCCUUGUAGUC